UGUUCGCGGAACCGCGGGGAAGCACAAGACGGUGGGCCGUUUGAAUUGAAUUGAUUAUCUCUCUUCCCCCUCCUCUCUCUCUCAUUGGGAAACUGGGAAAUCAAAAGCCCUAGAGGACUACGCCCCAAAUUGAUCUUCAAAUUGUUUGAAUUCGAAGAGUCACUAGGAGCUUGUAUCCAAGUGUGUGAGGCUGGCUCACUUGUUUCAUGUUUGAUGUAGGAGUAGUCAUUUUGAUUUGGCUAUAAGAUUUAGCUAUAAGGAAUUGCUUUCUGUUUUUUGAAACCAAACCAAAUUCUCAUUUGAAGCAAUAAGUUUCUAGAAUCUGUUAUACACAUGAACUUAUUUGAUGACUGCAAAGACCUAUACUAAUUUCUUGGAUAAUCAAAUUGACUAUUUUCAGUAUAAAAUGCUUGUUAAAUAUGCAUCUCUAACCCCGAGUGUAGCGCAAUGCGCUGUGACUUAACCCACAGAGCUUACUAUUGAAUGAAAAACAAGAUAUCCUCUUUUUAUUUUUCCUCUAUUGGUCUACCAUAUGGAGUUUCUCCUAUUAUGCAUACUGUUGUAGCAGAUUGUGUGGUCAUAUUAAAAUAUUUCAGAAUCAUUCACUAGUUGGGGUUGGUGUCCAUAUUCUUGCCACAUACCUACCAAAUUGGUUGCAUGUUCAUACUUGUGAAUGAAUCCAAUUUUCAAUGUGAGUAUAUAUAUAUAUAUGUAUGGCUGCUCCACUUGCGUAGAAAUCCAUUAUUGUAGGUAGCAUUUGGCUUGAAAACAUUGUAUUUUCCUUUCUGACCACAUUUUGGUUCGGGAAAAUCUGCAAUUGUGCUGCCUGGAGGAAAGUCAAUGUCAGCUAGUGCUUGUAUACUGACCCAAACAAGAGCUUCAGCUUAUGUAAGAUUCCUGAUGGUGCUUGUCUUACUAACAUUUGCAGUAUUGAAUAGUUGGACCAUGGACCAUGAUAGUUGAAAUGAUUUGUGAUUAGUUAUGGCCUUUCUGAUUACACACAAAAAGAUCCUGAAUCCUGUUUGGUGAAUAGAUAUUUUGCAGAUCUUGUUUUUACUCUUCAAUCAUGGCUCUAUAGAACUCUUCCUUUACCUUUUUCACUCUAUUGAAUUUUAAUUCUGUA